UUGUUUGAGCCCCUCACCAUGAAUAAGAUUCUAGCACCCUCACUUGAGAUCAAGGAAGAAGCUACAAGCACCCCACCAACACCACCGCCCUCCGAGGUCACCUUGGAGAUACAAGAGCUAGUCCCGCUUAGAGAAGAGUACGACACCAUCCUGCAAUCUUUGUCGUCGCUAGAAGAAGUCAUCAACAUCAGCUAUCUCUUGACCCAUCCAGAAGAUGUCUCAGAAUGA
rnacentral:misc_RNA from 1 species